rfam:Streptomyces sp. NBRC 110027 DNA, contig: TPA059801.
UCGGCCCCGGUUCACGUGACGCAACCCGCGACACGACCCGGUGCA